UACAGGGGGGGCAAGCGUUGUUCGGAAUUACUGGGCGUAAAGGGUUCGUAGGUGGCUUACUAAGUCAAACGUGAAAUCCCUCAGCUUAACUGGGGAACUGCGUCUGAUACUGGAAAGCUUGAGUGCAGGAGAGGAACGCGGAAUUCCAGGUGUAGCGGUGAAAUGCGUAGAUAUUGGGAAGAACACCAGUGGCGAAGGCGGCUAACUGGUCCGAUACUGACGCUGAGGUGCGAAAGCGUGGGGAGCAAACAGG
rnacentral:rRNA from 1 species